UACGUAGGGUGCGAGCGUUGUCCGGAAUUAUUGGGCGUAAAGGGCUCGUAGGCGGUCUGUCGCGUCAGGAGUGAAAACUCGGGGCUUAACCCCGAGCCUGCUUCUGAUACGGGCAGACUAGAGGUAUGCAGGGGAGAACGGAAUUCCUGGUGUAGCGGUGAAAUGCGCAGAUAUCAGGAGGAAUACCCAUAGCGAAGGCAGCUCGCUGGGACGGUACUGACGCUGAGGCGCGAAAGCGUGGGGAGCGAACAGG
rnacentral:rRNA from 1 species